rnacentral:lncRNA from 1 species
CCAAAUAUUACUUUAACCAAGAUACUUUGUAAUAAAAUGUUAAAAACAUGCCUUUAAAUCGAGAACAAGGCCUCAAUGCCUUCUUCUAUUCAUCAUUGUGUGGAGUUCCUGCUAAAUGGAGAAGGUAUGCAAAAUAAAUUUGCAAGGAUUAGAAAAAUAUAAAACUGUCAUCAUUUGCAAAGAUUAUGAUUAUGUAUAUGAAAGUCCAAGAGAAGUUACAGAGAAUGGUUAUUUAAAAAUUAAAUUCAUAUAUACAAACAGCAAACAAAAAUAUAAUUUCAAAAUAUAGCAAUUACAGAAGCAACGAGAGUACUAGAAAUAGAAGUAACUUCACAGAGGCAAGACUUUAAUGAGAAAGUCAUAAACCUUUAUUGAAAGUUAUAAAAGACCUAAUUAAAUGUAGAGAUACAUUACUUACACAUAAGACUUACUAUAACAAAUAUAUGAGUUCUUCCUCCUAUUUAUCUAUACUUUCAAAAAAAACCCCAAGAUUUUAUCAUUUUUAUGAAGCAUGAUAAACUCAUCUUAAAACUUAUGUUAGACUAUAAAGUGCCUAAAACAGUUGAGACUUCUCAAAAAACAAAAAUGAUAAUGGUCUAGUCAUUCAAAAUAUAUUAUGAAACUAUAGUAAAUAAAAAUUUAACUGAAAAAAAGUAAAUGAUUCUGGGUCAAUUGGCUAAACAUACAGAAAUAACUAAGAUCAAAUAUAUCCUUACUUUAUAUAAAACACACAUUUUUCUAAUUGCAUUAGAGGCAUGAAAUGAAAAGCAAAACUAGAUGUUUAGG